GCUAGAAGCUAAAAUACUCCUGUCUUUGAGAAAACCUACAAGGAGAUAGAAGAAGAGGAAAUCAAUUUCUCUUUUCAUUUUAGGUAGUGAUGUAGCCAAGAAAAAUGGAGCUUUUACUCUAAUUAUGUGUGUCUGGCCCAUAUUUACUGUUGUCAUCUUAUAUGUAGUGUAAUGAGUAACGAAAAAGUAAUUGAACAAAACAUUUAUUUUCAUAGCACUGGUAGACUUGCUAUACGCUACGAGUUGUCAUGGUGUUAUUCCUGAAUUCUGAUAUCUUCCUUUGAUUCUUAUUUUUUUAUUUUCCGUAAAUUAUACAUGUAUUUAAUAAAAUAUACAUUUAAGUUGAUUUAUCCAAAGGGGAGCCCCCACGGUCUAGGGAUGUAAGUUCUUGAUACAGGGUGUUUCAAAAAAGGUAAUACAACUUUUACUUGUUGAUGUGUGUAAA